rnacentral:rRNA from 1 species
AGUGAACGCUGGCGGCAGGCCUAACACAUGCAAGUCGAACGGCAGCACAGUAAGAGCUUGCUCUUACGGGUGGCGAGUGGCGGACGGGUGAGGAAUACAUCGUAAUCUACUCUUUCGUGGGGGAUCACGUAGGGAAACCUACUCUAAUAUCGCAUCUGAUCUUCGGGUGAAAGCAGGGGAUCUUCGGACCUUGCGCGAAUGAACUCGCCGAUGUCGGAUUAGUUAGUUGGCGGGGUAAAGGCCCACCCAGGCGACGAUCCGUAGAUGGACUGAGAGGACGAUCGGCGGCACUGGAAGUGGAACGCGGUCCAGAGUCCUGCGGGAGGCAGCAGUGGGGAAUGUUAGACAGUGGGCGCAAGCCUGGUCCAGCCGUACCGCGUGGGUGGAGGAAACCUUCGGGUUGUAAAGACGUUUUGUUGGGAGAGAAAAGCAGCAGGUUGAGACGACGCUGUUGUGACGGUACCCAGAAAAGAAGCACCGGCUAACUUCGUG